UAGCGGAGGAAAAGAAACCAACAGGGAUUGCCCCAGUAACGGCGAGUGAAGCGGCAAAAGCUCAAAUUUGAAAUCCUGCGGGAAUUGUAAUUUGAAGGUUUCGUGGUCUGAGUCGGCCGCGCCCAAGUCCAUUGGAACAUGGCGCCUGGGAGGGUGAGAGCCCCGUAUGGCGCACGCCGACUCUUUGCACCGCGGCUCCGACGAGUCGAGUUGUUUGGGAAUGCAGCUCUAAGUGGGUGGUAAAUUCCAUCUAAAGCUAAAUAUUGGCGAGAGACCGAUAGCGAACAAGUACAGUGAUGGAAAGAUGAAAAGCACUUUGAAAAGAGAGUGAAACAGCACGUGAAAUUGUUGAAAGGGAAGGGCUUGCAAGCAGACACGGUUUUACCGGGCCAGCGUCGAAAAGGGGGGAGGAACAAGAACUCGAGAAUGUGGCGCGCACCUUCGGGCGCGCGUGUUAUAGCUCGUGUUGACGCCUCCAUCCCUUUUCGAGGCCUGCGAUUCUAGGACGCUGGCGUAAUGGUUGCAAGCCGCCCGUCUUG
rnacentral:rRNA from 1 species